GGGUCAGCAGGUUGGUCGUGCCUAUGGUAUGUACUGGCCUUGCUGAUUCCUCCCUCUUGAUGAGCCGUAAUGUCAUUAAUUUGGUGUUGCGGGGAAUCAGGACUGUUACUUUGAAAAAAUUAGAGUGUUUAAAGCAGGCAAACGCUUGAAUACAUUAGCAUGGAAUAAUGAAAUAGGACGUUCGAUCCUAUUUCGUUGGUUUCUAGGAUCAACGUA
rnacentral:rRNA from 1 species